rnacentral:rRNA from 1 species
AUUGAACGCUGGCGGCAGGCCCAACACAUGCAAGUCGAGCGGAUGAAGGGAGCUUGCUCCUGGAUUCAGCGGCGGACGGGUGAGUAAUGCCUAGGAAUCUGCCUGGUAGUGGGGGAUAACGUCCGGAAACGGGCGCUAAUACCGCAUACGUCCUGAGGAAGAAAGUGGGGGAUCUUCGGACCUCACGCUAUCAGAUGAGCCUAGGUCGGAUUAGCUAGUUGGUGGGGUAAAGGCCUACCAAGGCGACGAUCCGUAACUGGUCUGAGAGGAUGAUCAGUCACACUGGAACUGAGACACGGUCCAGACUCCUACGGGAGGCAGCAGUGGGGAAUAUUGGACGAUGGGCGAAAGCCUGAUCCAGCCAUGCCGCGUGUGUGAAGAAGGUCUUCGGAUUGUAAAGCACUUUAAGUUGGGAGGAAGGGCAGUAAGUUAAUACCUUGCUGUUUUGACGUUACCAACAGAAUAAGCACCGGCUAACUUCGUG